rnacentral:rRNA from 1 species
UGAGGAAUAUUGCGCAAUGGGGGCAACCCUGACGCAGCAACGCCGCGUGAGUGAGGAAGGUUUUCGGAUUGUAAAGCUCUGUCGAGCGGAAAGAAAUGCAUUAUGGCUAAUAUCCAUAGUGCUUGACGGUACCGCUAAAGGAAGCACCGGCUAACUCCGUGCCAGCAGCCGCGGUAAUACGGGGGGUGCAAGCGUUGUUCGGAAUCAUUGGGCGUAAAGCGCGUGUAGGCGGCUUGACAAGUCAGAUGUGAAAUCCCUGGGCUUAACUCAGGAAGUGCAUUUGAAACUGUCAGGCUAGAGUAAGGGAGAGGAAAGUGGAAUUCCUGGUGUAGAGGUGAAAUUCGUAGAUAUCAGGAGGAACACCGGUGGCGAAGGCGACUUUCUGGCCCUAUACUGACGCUGAGACGCGAAAGCGUGGGUAGCAAACAG